UUUGGUAAGGUGUGAUAAAAAAUAAAAUAAAAAUAAAGAGCUGAAAUUGUAAUGCAUCUCAACAUAAAUGGGGACGUCAUUUUUUUAUCACCCAGAACAUACAACAACUUAGUAGUUUUGCGUAGUUGCAUUUACAGAUAGCAUCAAACUUAGUUAUGAUGUUCUGUGAUUUAAUGUUCUUUCCAUCCCCAAUUACAAGUACUAUGGUAUAUAUUCUCUAUCUCAGCUUAGAAUCCAUUCCAUUACAUUGAAGGAGUUAUGGAAAGAAUUUACAACUGAGUUUAAUGGGAAUCAUAAUCUUUGAACAAAAUAUUAUGGGUUUCUAAGAGCGGCCAAACGUUCCUCAAGUUCAUCAAUGCCAGAG
rnacentral:lncRNA from 1 species